GGAUUCCAGCUCUCCUUGGCUCUGCUGUGGCCAAGGCCUGAGGGAGAAAGCUCAGUCCAUGGAAAUCAAAGCGUGGGGAGACGGAUGUCUUCUGCCUCUUUCCCUUUUUGAAAAGGUUCUGAAUGCUGGGAAUACAGACAUAUCACCACACCGGGCUUAGGCUGGGGACUGAACCCAAGGGCUUCCGGCAUGCUGGAUUCCCCAGGAGCUCCACCUCUGAAUAGCAGAGCCCUGAUCAAUGCCUGUGCACCGAGAGGGAAACGGAGGCAUGCCUGGCCUACUUGGAGUGGAAGCAUAACAGAUAAAGAGGUGUGCCCUCUGUCUCAGCAGUUUCCACGGCCUUUGCUGGAUUCCCUACCAAGUCCCAGAGAGUCCUGGAGAGAUGGGCAAAGAAAGGUGCCCCUGAAGGUCAUCAGUAACCCUUCCAGGGGUUGUGCUCUCUUUUUCCAUUUUGUUUGAGACAAAGACUUUUACUCUGUAGCCCAGGCUAGCCUCAAAUGCAUGGCAGUCUUCUCUCAGCUUCCCAAGUUAACCGCACCCAGCUUUUGUGUCCUUCACAAAUAACUUGGCGUAGUAUUUUCAUCAGGUCCGGCUGGGUCUGUUUUCCUGCUGCGGUUGGUAUCCCAGAGCUAUGCCCCCCCCCACACACACACACACAAGCCAUCUCUUUUCCUCGUGAACUCAAGGUCUGCAUUCCCUUACAGGCUGUUCUUUUUGUAUACACGUGUGUAAAGUGACUAAUACACUGUUGGUCUCAGACCCUACCCUGGUGAUGGGGACACCUUACAGCCAAACAAAAUAUCCAACGUCUUUGCUAUCCAGACUUUUUAUUGAGGGGAACAGAUAGAACUACAAAAGAGAAACAGGUAAGGUAAAAAUGAAAAUCCAGAGCGUGGGCUGUGGAGACAACACACCUGUAAGCCCCAGCACUCAGGAACCAGAGGACCCUGAGUCCCAAGCCAGCCUGUUCACCUUUAACUCCAGCACAAAAGAAAACAACAACGAAAGAGUUGUGAUU